rnacentral:rRNA from 1 species
GCAAGUCGAGCGCGCCCUUCGGGGUGAGCGGCGGACGGGUGAGUAACGCGUGGGAACGUGCCCUUCUGUGCGGAAUAGCCACUGGAAACGGUGAGUAAUACCGCAUACGCCCUUCGGGGGAAAGAUUUAUCGCAGAGGGAUCGGCCCGCGUUGGAUUAGGUAGUUGGUGGGGUAAUGGCCUACCAAGCCUACGAUCUAUAGCUGGUUUUAGAGGAUGAUC